AAAAACUCCGGUGGUAUGAGAUGGACCCGCGUCUGAUUAGCUGGUUGGUGAGGUAACGGCCCACCAAGGCGACGAUCAGUAGCCGACCUGAGAGGGUGGCCGGCCACAUUGGGACUGAGACACGGCCCAAACUCCUACGGGAGGCAGCAGUGGGGAAUAUUGCACAAUGGGGGAAACCCUGAUGCAGCAACGCCGCGUGAGUGAAGAAGUAUUUCGGUAUGUAAAGCUCUAUCAGCAGGGAAGAGAAUGACGGUACCUGACUAAGAAGCCCCGGCUAACUACGUGCCAGCAGCCGCGGUAAUGCGUAGGGGGCAAGCGUUAUCCGGAUUUACUGGGUGUAAAGGGAGCGUAGACGGCUGUACAAGUCUGAAGUGAAAGCCCGUGGCCCAACCGCGGAACUGCUUUGGAAACUGUAAAGCUGGAGUACUGGAGAGGCAGGCGGAAUUCCUAGUGUAGCGGUGAAAUGCGUAGAUAUUAGGAGGAACACCAGUGGCGAAGGCGGCCUGCUGGACAGAAACUGACGUUGAGGCUCGAAAGCGUGGGGAGCAAACAGGAUUAGAUACCCUGGUAGUCCACGCGGUAAACGAUGAAUGCUAGGUGUUGGUGGGCAAAGC
rnacentral:rRNA from 1 species